rnacentral:rRNA from 1 species
AUGGCAAGCGGCAGAAGGGAUCUCGCCGCGGCGACGAUCACGCUAGCCGUGCUGCUCGUGCUCUUCUUGCCUAGCACCGCGGCCGCCGCCGUCCCCAGCAUCGACGCCACGCGGACGCGCCACCUGCCGCUGCGACAAGGACUGCUGCGCGGCCCUGAGAGCGUCGCCUUCGACGCCAAAGGCCACGGCCCGUACAGCGGCGUGUCCGACGGCCGCGUGCUGAAGUGGAACGGCGACGCGCUCGGAUGGACGACGUACAGCUACAGCCCCGACUACAGCAGCGAGGCGUGCACGGCGUCUCUCCUUCGCCCGGAGACUGCCACCGAGGGCCACUGCGGCCGGCCGCUUGGUCUGCGGUUCCACCUCAAGUCCGGGUACCUCUACAUGGCCGACGCCUACAAGGGACUCAUGCGGGUCGCGUCGGGCGGCGGGGAGGCGACUGUGCUUGUCACGGAGGUUGAUGGCGUACCUCUCCGCUUCACCAACGGCGUUGACAUCGACCAGGUAACCGGCGAGGUCUACUUCACAGACAGCUCCAGGAACUACAAUAGAUCGCAGCAUGAGAUGGUCACAAGAACCGGGGACUCGACGGGCCGCCUUAUUAGGUACGACCCGCGGACAGGAAAGGCCGUCGUGCUCCAGUCCGACAUCACUUACCCCAAUGGUCUUGCCAUCAGCGCUGAUCGAACACAUCUCAUCAUCUCAUCCACCGGGCCAUGUAAGCUAUUAAGGUACUAGAUCAAGGGCUCAAAGGCCGGAACAAUGGAGCUAUUCGCAGACCUUCCGGGCUAUCCCGAUAAUGUGAGGCUCGACAAGAAAGGAGGAUAUUGGGUGGCGCUACACCGUGAGAAGGCUGAGCUCCCCUUUGGGGUCGAUAGCCACCUACUCGCCCUGAGGAUCGAUGUCGAGGGAAAAAUAAUCGAGGAGAUGAGAGAACCCAAGAGCGUGAGGCCAACAGAGGUCGUGGAGAGGAAAGGUGGCAGAUUGUUCAUGGGAUCCGUCGAGCUUACUUAUGCGGCAGUCGUCAUGCGCAAAUAG